UACGUAGGGGGCAAGCGUUGUCCGGAUUUAUUGGGCGUAAAGAGCGUGUAGGCGGCCGUACAGGUCAGCUGUGAAAACUCGAGGCUCAACCUCGAGACGUCGGUUGAAACCGUACGGCUAGAGUCCGGAAGAGGAGAGUGGAAUUCCCGGUGUAGCGGUGAAAUGCGCAGAUAUCGGGAAGAACACCCGUGGCGAAGGCGGCUCUCUGGGACGGUACUGACUCUGAGACGCGAAAGCGUGGGGAGCGAACAGG
rnacentral:rRNA from 1 species